GGUGCUUCUCAAUCGCUCCUCCUCCCUCAGGCUUUGAAGGGAGGAGUGCGCCGUGAAGGUGGGGGAAUGAUGGGGGUGCUAUCAAGAGGUGGAUCUCAGGCUUUGGGAGUGAGAUUGUUGAUUGUGAUGAGAGGGAGCCGCUUGGGGUUUGGCUCCAUGUAUCAUUGUUGCUGCUCCGUCAUUUGUUGAAGUUGCUAUAUAGCACUAGUCAGCAUCUGGAUCUACUGAGCUAGGGUGUUAAGCAGCUGUGG
rnacentral:lncRNA from 1 species